UGUGUGAUGUUAAUGACUCUAUGUUGGUUGGGUCUGGUCUGUAGGGGACAUCCAUAUAGGACUUCAGACCAAAACUAGGGCCUCAUAAUUUUUUAUUUUGAAUAGACUAAAGGACUGGAGGAAAGUUGUGUCAGAACAGUGAUAAUGAAACUGUCAUUUACCUCAGGAACAUCACAAGUGCCUGAUUUGAGUCCCAGGAACGUGGCAGACACUGCCCCGUGUGCAGAGUUAUCGUUGCUUCUGAGAAACGGGGACAAAGCAGGUCGGUGACAGUACCAUGGGAUCCCUACCGGAAGAAAAAGACAGUGCUUUGUGGUCAGACACCCCCUAUGGGUAGAGGCUACAUUAUUGAAACAAACUUGAAAAGGUCCCAUAAAAAUGAAACAUUUGUAAGCAGCAGGAAAGACUUGAAUAAUUGCAAUAAAGUGUUGAAAUU
rnacentral:lncRNA from 1 species